rnacentral:misc_RNA from 1 species
GAAAUGCGAUAAGUAAUGUGAAUUGCAGAAUUCAGUGAAUCAUCGAAUCUUUGAACGCACAUUGCGCCCCUUGGUAUUCCGGGGGGCAUGCCUGUUCGAGCGUCAUUACAACCCUCAAGCUAGUCUUGGUAUUGGGCUCCGCCGCUAACCCGGCGGGCCUUAAAAUCAGUGGCGGUGCCGUCGAGGCCCUGAGCGCAGUAAAUCUCCUCGCUAUAGGGACCCGGCGGACGCUGGCCAGCAACCCCCAACUUUCUAAGUUUGACCUCGGAUCAGGUAGGGAUACCCGCUGAACUUAA